rnacentral:pre_miRNA from 1 species
AAAAAGACAAACCCUAGGUUUCCGUGCCAAUGAAAUUUUUUUAUAAUUAGUAUUUUCAUUGUUGUUAGAUGAUAAAACAUGAUUAAUACUUUAUGCGUAACUUAUCUUUUUAAUUUUUUUCAUAAUUUUUUCAAAUAAGACGGACGGUCAAAUGUUGGUCACGGAAAUCAGGGUUUGUCUUUUU